rnacentral:misc_RNA from 1 species
GCAGAAGGAUCAUUAGUGAAGAUUUGGGCAGGCCAUACGGACGCCAAAAAGUGUCCCUGGCCGCCUACACCCACUAUACAUCCACAAACCCGUGUGCACUGUCUUGGAGAAAGGCUUCAGAGAAGUUUUUUGUGGCCCCUCUUGGGGUCUUUCUUCGCUACAAACUCGAAUGGCUAGUAUGAACGUGGAACUUGGUUGGACCGUCACUGGCCAACAAACUAUACACAACUUUCGACAACGGAUCUCUUGGUUCUCCCA